rfam:Salmo salar isolate Sally breed double haploid chromosome ssa01, whole genome shotgun sequence.
AUGGCUUCAUUAGAAGUAACGAGUUGACACAAGGUAAAUCUAACUUUGAGGCGCUAUUCUGGUGCGCGGAGCGCCCUCAUUAACUGUCGCUAACAAGCCGUGCAAAUACACUGAUUGGACAGCUCCCGUAUAACCCCGCAGACUUAGCAGGAUGCCCACUUAAUGAGACCACACAAAAAAAGAAAAGGAUAAGUUGGGAAAAACUCUUUACAGUCGAAUAAUUUGGAGUUUGGUGAAAUAGUUCAUGUAGCAUAGGCCUAUAGGUCUGGAUGGUUUGG